rnacentral:SRP_RNA from 1 species
GCCGGGUGUGGUGGCUCACACCUGUAAUCCCAGCACUUUGGGAGGCUGAGGUGGGUGGAUCACUUGAGGCCAGGAGUUCAAGACCAGCCUGGCCAACAUGGUGAAAUCCUGUCUCUA